AUUAGAGCAGUACGCUGCACCUAUACAGAGAAACUCGAGUGUCAGUCUUCUCAUGGGCAAGUGACAGAAGAACCAUAUUCCUCUGAAGAUGAUGAUGAUGAUGAAGAUGAUGAUGAUGAUGAUGAUGAAGCCAUGCGUUCAUGUUCAGCAUGUCUACGCAAACGAAGAUACCCUGAAGAUGAAGAUGAAGAUGAAGGAGCUAAACGAAGUUCACCUCUACCCGAAGAUGAAGAUAAAAUAAUUCCCAGGUCUCACUCUAAGGAAAAUCUAUUAAUUGAUAUGCAGCAGCCUCAGUGAAUAAUGAUGUUUAAUGUAGUUCAGUCUCUCAUGAUCCUGAUCAAUAUAUUGAUAGUGUGAUCAUGAAUAUAUUGAUAGUGUGAUCAGGUAUAGUUGAGAUUGACUACAGUAAAGUGAGUGAAUUUCUAACGGACAGUAGAUCAGAUCUCAUAAACACACGUGUGGAUCUGAACUGAGAUCAGAAUAUCACAGAAAUCCUCUGAACCUCUCGAUCUCUUAUUAUUCACUCUUCAACAUCCACUGCUGCUUCUGUUGCUCAUUUGUUGCUUUGAAUGAAAAGCUUCUGCUUAGUUAAAGUGUGUGAAAAUAUUCCAGCAGUAGAGAAUUACACUUUAUUUUGAUGCUCAUUCUGAUAACUGAGUAACUGUACAACUACAUGUAAAGCAGUCAUUAGAGUGUCAGUAGACUGUUAGAGUUUGGGUUUGUUGACGUGUGUUGUAAUAAAGUUACUUACAGUCAGCAGAAUGUCUGUUAGGAGCAUCAAAAUAAAGUGUUACUGACAAUUUUAAAGUUGUUUCUGAGGUGAAUCAAAUUAUGAUGAAAGAUAAAUUCAGUGUGUCAUGAAACACUUUACUGUAAGAGGCUGACAUUAUGGUAGUGAAUCUGAACUAUAUCACACUGAUCAGAUCACAGUAUGAAUAUAUUUAUGAGGAUUAUGUUAGUUGGUGAAGUGUGUGUACAGGAUAUUUUAUAUAUCUGAACUGAACUUCAUCAGCGCCCUUAUCUUGUGGUCUUUUUUUCACUGUACAUGCCUCCGUUAGGUCAGAUCAUGAGUGAAUAUGGUGUGUCUAUGAUGGAGUUUGUGUUUUGCUCUUUACAUUCAUAUGCAGAUAUUACACAUAACCCUUUCUUUUGCUCAUGUUUAUUAAUUUAAGCAUGCACUUGAAUAUUUUUAUUUCUGAGAAUUGUUUCCCUUUUCUGUUGUAUAAACACAAUAUCACUCUCAUAGCUCUCGUAACUCUAUGGUUUCUACGAAAGUGAAAAUGGAAAUUGAGGGUCACGCGGAUAUGAUGUCACUGACAGGAGACGCAACGACACGGCCGUUACACUGGGUAACAUUUCUCUGGAUUUAAAGGAACACUCCACUUUUUUUGAAAAUAGGCUCAUUUUCCAACAGUUAAACAGUCGAGUUUUACCGUUUUCGAAUCCAUUCAGCCGAUCUCCGGGUCUGGCGGUGCCACUUUUAGCAUAGCUUAGCAUAGUUCAUUGAAUCUGAUUAGACCGUUAGCAUCUCGCUCAAAAAUGACCAAAGAGUUUUGCAGGGCUCUCAAGUCUCACGCAUUGGGCGUGAGACACACGCAUUUCAACACGCUCACACGCCACACCUUGUAUUUCUCACGCAGAGAAAUCUCCAGGAUAACGCACAAGUUGCGCCGCUAUUAGAGGAAUCAAGCGAGUUCCCCAUAGAGUUCAGAAGGCCCUGCCACGCACCAGUUAAUCUAAUAAAAAAUAUAGCUACCGGACAGCCAAUCAGAAAAUAGAAUUGCUGUAUCCGGGUAAGAUUUAGAUAUUCCCGCCACAACAAUGUUUACGUUCUGAUUCCAACGACACAUUCUGUGAUUCACGGGCUCGCUCACCGAUUCAGAUGCUCGCUGAAGUAGUUAGAAGAGGACAUCUGUCAGUCACAUUGAUUCACAUCUGGCUACAGACUGAUCGUGAUUGAUAUGGGACCAUACACUAUGAGUACAGUAAGUCAUCUUUGUGUCCAGCCAGCUGGAAAAAUGAAUAUUCUUGUAUUUAAAGCUGCAGUCCGCAACUUUUUUUGUGUUAAAAAUUUACAAAAAUUAUAUAAUGAGAAUAUACAACAUGAAUCCAUUUUCCAAACCGUGUUUUUGUCUUAU